rnacentral:rRNA from 1 species
UACGGAGGGGGCUAGCGUUGUCCGGAAUUAUUGGGCGUAAAGAGCUCGUAGGCGGUCUGUUGCGUCUGCUGUGAAAACCCGGGGCUUAACCCCUGGCUUGCAGUGGAUACGGACAGACUAGAGGUAGGUAGGGGAGAAUGGAAUUCCCGGUGUAGCGGUGAAAUGCGCAGAUAUCGGGAGGAACACCGGUGGCGAAGGCGGUUCUCUGGGCCUUACCUGACGCUGAGGAGCGAAAGCGUGGGGAGCGAACAGG